rnacentral:rRNA from 1 species
CUACGGGUCGCUGCAGUGGGGAAUAUUGCACAAUGGGCGCAAGCCUGAUGCAGCCAUGCCGCGUGUAUGAAGAAGGCCUUCGGGUUGUAAAGUACUUUCAGCGGGGAGGAAGGGAGUAAAGUUAAUACCUCUGCUCAUUGACGUUACCCGCGGAAGAAGCACCGGCUAACUCCGUGCCAGCAGCCGCGGUAAUACGGAGGGUGCAAGCGUUAAUCGGAAUUACUGGGCGUAAAGCGCACGCAGGCGGUUUGUUAAGUCAGAUGUGAAAUCCCCGGGCUCAACCUGGGAACUGCAUCUGAUACUGGCAAGCUUGAGUCUCGUAGAGGGGGGUAGAAUUCCAGGUGUAGCGGUGAAAUGCGUAGAGAUCUGGAGGAAUACCGGUGGCGAAGGCGGCCCCCUGGACGAAGACUGACGCUCAGGUGCGAAAGCGUGGGGAGCAAACAGGAUUAGAUACCCCGGUAGUC